rnacentral:misc_RNA from 1 species
GAAAUGCGAUAAGUAAUGUGAAUUGCAGAAUUCAGUGAAUCAUCGAAUCUUUGAACGCACCUUGCGCUCCUUGGUAUUCCUUGGGGCAUGCCUGUUUGAGUAUCAUGAAAUCUUCAAAGUAAAUCUUUUGUUAACUCAAUUGGUUUCUACUUUGGUAUUGGAGGUCUUUGCAGCUUCACACCUGCUCCUCUUUGUUCAUUAGCUGGAUCUCAGUGUUAUGCUUGGUUCCACUCGGCGUGAUAAGUUAUCUAUCGCUGAGGACACUGUAAAAGGUGGCCAAGGUAAAUGCAGAUGAACCGCUUCUAAUAGUCCAUUGACUUGGACAAUACUUUUAUGAUCUGAUCUCAAAUCAGGUAGAACUACGCGCUGAACUUAAGC